rnacentral:rRNA from 1 species
GAAAGUAAGAAAGGGCAGACGGUGGAUGCCUUGGCUCUCGGAGGCGACGAAGGACGUGAUAAGCUGCGAAAAGCCGCGGGUAGGUGCAAAUAACCCUUGAUCCGCGGAUAUCCGAAUGGGGCAACCCGGCUGGUUGAAGGCCAGCCAUUCCGCAAGGAAGGCGAACGUGGGGAACUGAAACAUCUAAGUACCCAUAGGAGAAGAAAACAAAAGUGAUUGCGCAAGUAGUGGCGAGCGAACGCGCAUUAGCCCAAACCCGUAUUGUCGUAGGCAUUACGGGGGUUGUAGGACUACGCCGGUUAGGCAUGAAGAGAAGGGAAAUAGAACGUUUUGGAAAGAACGGCCAUAGCGGGUGACAGCCCCUUAUAUGACUCCCUUCCGAAGCCUCAGUAGUAUCCUGAGUAGCGCGGGACACGAGAAAUCCUGUGUGAAUCUGCGGGGCCCAUCCCGUAAGGCUAAAUACUCCCGAGAGACCGAUAGUGAACCAGUACCGUGAGGGAAAGGUGAAAAGAACCUUAAGUAAAGGAGUGAAAUAGACCCUGAACCCGUCUGCCUACAAGCGGUCGGAGCAUUGUUGUGAUGUGACGGCGUGCCUUUUGCAUAAUGAACCUACGAGUUACUUACAGUGGCAAGGUUAAGCGUUUCAGACGCGUAGCCGAAGCGAAAGCGAGUCUUAACAGGGCGAGUAAAGCAUACCUUUCGGGGUGUGUUAUAGUCACUGUGAGUAGACGCGAAACCAAGUGAUCUACCCUUGAGCAGGUUGAAGGUUGGGUAACACCACCUGGAGGACCGAACCGUUAAACGUUGAAAAGUUUUCGGAUGACUUGAGGGUAGGGGUGAAAGGCUAAUCAAACUUGGAGAUAGCUCGUACUCCCCGAAAUGCAUUUAGGUGCAGCCUCGGUUUAGUUUUAUAUCAGGUAGAGCGACUGAUUGGAUGCGAGGGCUUCGCCGCCUAUCAAGUCCAGAUAAACUCCGAAUGGGUAUAAAAUAUUGACCGGGAGUGAGGGCAUGGGUGCUAAGGUCCAUGUCCGAGAGGAGAAUAAUCCAGACCAUCGGCUAAGGUCCCGAAAUAACAGUUAAGUUGAACUAACGAAGUAUGGUCGCCGUGACAGCUAGGAUGUUGGCUUGGAAGCAGCCAUUCAUUUAAAGAGUGCGUAACAGCUCACUAGUCGAGUGGCCGUGCGUGGAUAAUACUCGGGCAUAAACUGUUUACCGAAGCCGUGGAUGUCGUAAGACGUGGUAGGGGAGCAUUCCAUACGGCGCUGAAGAUGAAAGAUAACUUUUGUUGGAGCGUAUGGAAACGCAAAUGUAGGUAUAAGUAACGAUAAUGCAGGCGAGAAACCUGCACGCCGAAAGACUCAGGAUUCCUGAUCAACGCUAAUCGGAUCAGGGUUAGUCGGGUCCUAAGGUAAAGCCGAACGGCGCUACCGAUGGAUGAACUGGUUAAUAUUCCAGUACUGCUUUAUAGAGUGAUGUGGUGACGGAGAAGUGACACUGCUGCCGGCUGACGGAAUAGUCGGUUAAAGGUUGUAGGCGUAGAUGGGGGCAGGCAAAUCCGCCCCUUGAGCCGAAGCUGAGAGUACCAUGAGCGCUUGCACCCGUACCGUAAACGGACACACGUAGUUGGGUUGAGUAUACUCAGGCGCUCGAGAGAUUCACGGUUAAGGAAUUAGGCAAAAUGACCCCGUAACUUCGGGAGAAGGGGUGCCUGCAGAAGUGCAGGCCGCAGAGAAUAGGAGAAGGCGACUGUUUAUCAAAAACACAUGGCUAUGCGAAAUAGAAAUAUGAGGUAUAUAGCCUGACACCUGCCCGGUGCCGGAAGGUUAAGAGGAGAAGUCAUCCUGCGAGGGAGAAGCUUUGAAUUGAAGCCCCGGUAAACGGCGGCCGUAACUAUAACGGUCCUAAGGUAGCGAAAUUCCUUGUCGGGUAAGUUCCGACCUGCACGAAUG